rnacentral:rRNA from 1 species
UACGAAGGGGGCUAGCGUUGCUCGGAAUCGCUGGGCGUAAAGCGCACGUAGGCGGAUCUUUAAGUCAGGGGUGAAAUCCUGGAGCUCAACUCCAGAACUGCCUUUGAUACUGGGGAUCUCGAGUCCGGGAGAGGUGAGUGGAACUGCGAGUGUAGAGGUGAAAUUCGUAGAUAUUCGCAAGAACACCAGUGGCGAAGGCGGCUCACUGGCCCGGUACUGACGCUGAGGUGCGAAAGCGUGAGGAGCAAACAGG